UACGUAGGGCGCAAGCGUUGUCCGGAAUUACUGGGCGUAAAGAGCUUGUAGGUGGCUCGUUGCGUCGGGAGUGAAAACCUGCGGCUUAACCGCAGGCCUGCUUCCGAUACGGGCGAGCUAGAGUUCGGCAGGGGAGACUGGAAUUCCUGGUGUAGCGGUGGAAUGCGCAGAUAUCAGGAGGAACACCGGUGGCGAAGGCGGGUCUCUGGGCCGAAACUGGACGCUGAGGAGCGAAAGCGUGGGGAGCGAACAGG
rnacentral:rRNA from 1 species